rnacentral:rRNA from 1 species
AGGACGAACGCUGGCGGCGUGCCUAACACAUGCAAGUCGAACGGAGUAAAGCGCUGAAAAGAAGGUAGCUUGCUACUGAAUUUCUUGUUUACUUAGUGGCGAACGGGUGAGUAACGCGUGAGGAACCUGCCUUUCAGUGGGGGACAACAGUUGGAAACGACUGCUAAUACCGCAUGAUACUUUUUGGAGGCAUCUCUGAAAAGUCAAAGAUUUAUUGCUGAAAGAUGGCCUCGCGUCUGAUUAGCUAGUUGGCGGGGUAACGGCCCACCAAGGCGACGAUCAGUAGCCGGUCUGAGAGGAUGAACGGCCACAUUGGGACUGAGAUACGGCCCAGACUCCUACGGGAGGCAGCAGUGGGGAAUAUUGGGCAAUGGGCGCAAGCCUGACCCAGCAACGCCGUGUGAGGGAAGAAGGUCCUCGGAUUGUAAACCUUUGUCUUAUGGGACGAUAAUGACGGUACCAUAGGAGGAAGUCACGACUAACUACGUG